ACAACAUUACAAAAAUCAGACCUUAUCUGACACAAGAUUCCACACAACUUCUUGUACAGGCCAUGGUUAUCUCCAAGCUGGAAUAUUGUAAUUCACUGUUAGCU